CAGAAGGGCACCCGCACUUUGGGCGUCAGGAACGGAGUGGGGGAAGCCACAGCCCCGUAGCGCUGGCACCGGCUGGCAUGAGGUGGGAGACGCGCAGCACACCGGGAGCGUCGGCACCGGCCGGCGUGGCACUGGCCGCCUGGGCGUUGUCGCUUCGGGAGGAAGGAAGAAUAGGAGGCACCAAGGAUGCUCGUUUCAUCCAAAAGAAACAAAAAGGACAAGUGUCCCGCCACAUUACGCCCACUAGCAGCAAAGUGAUGGUUUGGCUCAAGCCUGUCCAGCUGGGAAGAUGAGACAGGCCUGAGGCUAUCCUCACCCAACACCCAGAAAUUAGAAGUCCUGCUUUCUUCAUUCUUGCGUCAGACUGAUCUGGGAACACAUUUCUUCGCUAGCAAAGAGCUGAGAUCCACGGUGCAGGCAUAGACUUGGAGGAAGGAAGUGACAGGCUCUUUGGGUGGCUUGGUUCUAGUCGUGAGCCACGCUGGCAGGCUCAUGAGAAUCAUCUAGGGAUUCUUUUACGUUCACUAAUAAAAACAAACAACAGGUGGCUCUCCCUGUC